rnacentral:lncRNA from 1 species
AACAUUUGAGAAUUACAGUUCUGUACCUCUGCAAAGAUUUGUAUAUUCUUCCAUUGGUGGGUGAGGGGGCAGGAGGAAAUUCUCUGGGUAGGCUUACAAAAACAAGAUUUUUAAGCGCUUCUGAUGAUUCUGAGCUACAUUUCUGGACUGGAAUUUGAGUGUUUACGUCGCUGUUUCUUGGAUAAUUAAAGAGGGCAGCAAAGGACCAUAAGCAAUUCUCCAAUGGUGAAGAUCGACCCCAGUCAUGUAAAAACACGAGGCAACACAUUUCACUUUUGCUUAAGAAGGAUCUUGCAGAAAGUGAAGAAGAGCAGGAAUAGAGAAGACAUUUGAAUGACGACUGAUGUUCUCUUCUUUGGCCUGAGGUUUUAGAACACAUUCACUGCCUGAUCACUGUGGCCCAGAAGCCAUGGCCUCUGCUGAGAGAUAGGGACCCCAUGUUCCCUCUACACAUCUUCUUCCCCAAAGCCUCUCUGAGGCUCCUAUGUUCAAAGAAACAGUCCUCUGGCAAUGGCCUGGUCCUUUCUGCCAUACCAAAGAAAGUUGUUUUUUGUUUUGAGCAAGAGAUCACUUCUGAUUUUCCUACCUUUGACAUGGACCAGACUAAUUGACAAAUUCUAGAAGGACAGACACUUCCAAACGUCUCUUGACAUACUGGCUUCACAAAGGUUAGGAAAGCUGUUAUGGGGAGGACGGAGCCUUUCUCCUCUUCCUGAGAACGUUUGAAGAAGAAAGGGGCUACUGAGAAGUCUGGUAGAUUCAGCAGCUAGUAAAUAUCGUGUCUAAAUGGGCAUCUUUUAUUAAACUCUGAGGCAGGGUUGGUGUGUUAGGCCAUUCUUUCUUGCUAUAAAGAAAUAUCUGAGACUGGGUAACUUAUAAAGAACAGAGGUUUAAUUGGCUCAUGGUUCUGCAGGCUGCACAGAAAGCAUAAUGACAUCUUCUUCUGGCUAGGCCUCUGGAAGCUUCCAAUGAUGGUGGAAGGCGAAGAGGGAACUUGCGCAUCACAUGGCAAAAGCAGGAGCAAGAGAGAGGCGAGGAGGUGCCGCACACUUUUAAAAGACCAGAUCUCAUGAAAACUCACUAUUGUGAGGACAGCACCAAGAGGAUCGUGCUAAAUUAUUCAAGAGAAAUCCUCCCCCAUGAUCCAGUCACCUCCCACCAGGCCCCACCUCCAACAUUGGGGAUUACAUUUCAACAUGAGAUUUGGAUGGAAACACAUUCAAGCUUUAUCAGCCCAGCUCCGGGAGUUCUUAAACUCAUAAGAAUCUAUGAGCUCCCAGAUUUAUGGGCCUUGAAAUAGACUUUGUAGAAGAACACAUCCCUGAUUAAACGUUACAUCCUGCGAAGACAGACUGUGAAGGCCAGGCCACAAUAGCUGGGGAGACAAUGCAUUUUUUGUUCAGAGCAGCCACCAACAGUGAUGACAAGAGCCAUCAAUGGGCCAAGGUCAAAGAUCAGCAGUCCCUCUGUCACUUCAUUCUUCUUCUGGCUCCCAAUAGAGUCCAUAGGAACUCAAUCUCAGUUCUGAAAUCUAAUCAAAGCUCAUCCACUCAGACCCAAGCCAAGGACACCAAAGAACAAAUUCAUAAGGCAAACAAAGUCUUCACUCAGCCUUCUGCAUUUAGUGAUUGUGGAAAUGUGGUGCAACUGCCAGCUAGAUGAGAGACUUUGGAGGAAAUGGGUGAUUUAAGCCUUGGGAGUGAGGAUUAGCAAGAGAGAUUGAUGAAGAUUCUGGACACAUUUGGGAAGCACCAGAGUGAGAGCGUGCCAUGACUCUCCAGGUGGGCAUCUGAGGAAGCUUAAAAUGAUGAGCCAAAUUAAAAAUAGGAAAUGAGAGCACAGAGGCUGUUUUUGACAAAGUUCCUUACUUCUCUCUGCCUCAUGGAAAACAGGAACAUCAGCCCUUCCUAGACCCGCCCCCCCCAGGCAUGUGUGCGACAUUUGUCCUGGAUGCAGCUAAAAUCCAUCCUUUAUGAUACAGUUUAUUCCUUGAUGCCAUUGUCUGCUAGGAGAUUUCCCGGAUUCUGAAAGUGUGCAAGCAAUACUUUUCAAUUACUGCACAUACACCCUGACACACCAUGUGGCCUUCACCAAUUUGCUGCACAAUCUAUCUUAACAGUAACCACAAAGCAUGCUUCUUGAUAGUAUGGACAAAAUCAUUUCUCUCUUUUGUUGCUUAGGAAUUCUGUUGUAGGCUCAACUUGCUAAACUAGUUGUGCAGAUCAACACAUGAGAGACAGGAGCCUCUCCACUAAAUGAGGGUGGGAAUGAAAGUGAGUAAUGUCUUUGGGGCCCUUGGAAUAGGCCUUUGCUGGUGGAAACCCUGCUCAACAAAGAGAAGAAAGUAUCCAGCACAGGGCUAGGCUUGCAUCAGCAAAGGGAAACCCAGCAACCACAUCAGUGUAAAUGAUUCUGCUAUUCUACCUGGCACCCACUCUUCUUAAUGUGGUAACUUAAUUUGUCUUGGAGAAUAAUUAUGUUUUGAGUGCUAACUAUUGCUAAGCAUUAUGCUCAACACUUUAAAUAAAUGACUUCACUUAAUCCCUACAAUAAUCUUACAAAGCUGAUACGAUCUUGAUUUUGCAGGUGAGAGAAUUGACAUUUGGGCUUAAGAAAUUUUGUUAAAAGCUGGAAUUCAAACACAGGUCUGUGUGAGUUCAAAACCCAUGCCUUCAACCAUAUCAUCAUCAACCUUAGUUUCUAGAAAUACAAAAUCUGCACUCUUUCCUCUGCUGCAGCCUGAGGUAAUUUCUUAGCAGCUAAGGCUGUCACAAAGAACCUCUGCAGGACUGUGGCAGUGGAUUUGGUCACUUUUUAUAGCUCUUGGGAUUCAUUAUGAUAUAUAAUUUUCUUAUUAAAUUUCUAUAAACCUAUAUUGCUUCAAGAUAAAGUUGUUUUCCCCUGUUCUGACCCAUCUUAUGUAUCAUUGCCAGAGGAGUCUCAUAAAGUAUAGCUCAUCUUGUCACUUCUCUGCUCAGAAACCUCCCAAAGCUCCUGGUUGUCCCUGGGGCCACAGUUACUCUUGGAUAUGCAAAGCAGGCUGCACCCUGCCUUUCCAGGAUGACUUUCUAUUCUCUGGUUUUCAACCCUGGGGAUUAAACCAGGCUUUGUGAAUUUCUAGUGCAACCAGGAUUUUAGACUAGAGCUCUGUUCUAAGCACAGUGUGGGUCACUGCAGAAUCUCACUUCAAGAAGGGUCCUGUGGUUUCAUAAAGAUUGGAAAGCACUUCUCUAACUCGACCAUAUUACAAUUCAUUCGACAAUCCCCUGCCUACACCUCUGCUUAAAUUCAUCCUUCACGUAAAUUGAUCUUCCUUACAACACAGUCUUCUGAUAUCUCAUCCAUCCUUCAAGGCCUGGUUGGAACGCUACUGUCUCCAUGAAGCCUUCCUCAGUAACCCAGACAGAAAUCCUUUCCCUCUGCUUUAUGUACUUCCACAGCUCUUUUCUUAAUAUUACUCCUGUAGGACUUGCCACACUAAACCUUGUAGCAUGGAUAUUUGUGCCCAUCUCAUCUCAUCUGACCCACUUGACUUCAGUGUCGUGUCCUGGGGUUGAGCAGGCAGAGAUCAUAUGUCUUCAUUAUGUCUGUGUGUUACCCUAGCAUCUAACACUAUGUCUUGAUCAUGCCAGGAAUUUAAUAAAUAUGCAUUGAUAUAAACUGAAUUAAUAUUGAUUAUUGGGCAUCAUUUCAAAAAAUGGCUUUGGUAAGUUGUCUGCUUGGUGAACACCAUCUUUUGUUCUUUGAAGCCAAGUGCUAUGGGGACAAAAAAAAUAAAGCAAAAUGUUUCCACCCUUAUAAGACUUUCUUGUUCAUAGUGAUAAGGCCGUAACUGUUGCUUUCAUUUUCUUCCUUCAGCUCAAGACAUCCUCGUCCAGGCAUGAAAUUGGUGCCUUGGUGUUUUUGUUUUCAUUUUCACAAAUAUUCUUCAGGAUAUUUCCUUCUCCAACUAGAAGGUCUGUUGAGGGCCAGGCAGGGCAAUCGCUGGGAUAUAGACCGAAAUCACUCAUGGUUUGAGUUUUGUCUCCCUCCAAGUUUCCAAACACCUUAAGCAUGUAGGGGACAAGGGAGAGCUUUCCCCUUGGCCUUCUGAAGGUUUGCUGAAAAAUCAACUCACAAAAAGCAGAUUAAUUGGAGAAAAUACAUAAACAUUUAUUAAAUGUGCAUACACAGGAGCAUUCAGAAUGAAGACCGACAGAUACAGGAGAACAGUGUCCAUUUUUAUGCUUAGGUUAACAAAGUAUGAACAGCUGUGUAGAAAUAUGAUUAGACAAAAAGGAUAUGACCUAAUGCUAGUGGACUAAGUGGGGUUACCCAGUGAGGCUGGUCUGUCUAGGUCCUUCUUGGCUUCUUUGUGCAGCUUUCCUUCCUUCUGGGUGUGGGGCAGGCCCUUCUCAAGAAUGGGGAGUCUUAUGAACUACAGUCAAACAAGGUAGGUCAGAUAAUUUAUUUUAGGGCAGUUUUUACUUUGAAAGGCAGAGGGAAAAUUAGAGCAAUACUUUUAGGUUUUAUGAAGGGCUUGUGGGCAAAGAGGUUCUAGUUUCUAUGUCCCACCUUGGGGAAAAGGGAUUUGUAGUUUCUUUGGCUAAAGCUAGCCUCAGGGGAGAAUGGGACUGAGAGACAAGAGGGAAGGAGAAGGUCAAAAAAACACUUGCUUCUGAGGCCUUCAUUUCGGGAUAUUGUUUUCCGAGCCCCAACAAGCACAAGAACAGUGGCUUCCAUUUUUCUUGUAUCCUCUCUAGCAUCUCUCUGUCUAUAUGGGCACACAAUGUGAGUCCUGAAAUAGUACAGCAGCGACUCCCCACUCUGAAUUCCACUGUGCUAUGUCUCUUCCCUCUGACUCUCAUCACUUUCUACCUUUUAAAGUUAUGUGUAUGUGCAUGUUUCACUUUUCCCUCUACACUGCAGAUUAUCUGAAGUAGAAUUUAUGCAUUCACAAAACCUACUACUUAGCAAUCAAUGUCUGUUGGACAGAUGAAUAACUAAAUAAAUAGAGGGAAGCACCUAAUCUUGGGAAUAAUAGAGAGAAAAAGUUAUUCCAAAAAGGAAAAGGAGGCGGAUGAUUAUCAGUGGCUCCUGAUUUCAAUACAAAAACCUAGCAUAUUCUUGGGGCACAUGUAUACUUAUUUGCAGCAACAAUAUCAGGGUCUAAUGGACAGAACCAAAAGAUAUAUGAGAGAAUCUAUGGAAUAUUCAUUUUGGCUGUCUUUGACUACAAAAGGCUUCUAAGAAAAGCCAUUCUGAUAAAUAAUAAUGAUAAUAAUAUCUAAUGUUUAUUGACCUCUUGCUAUGGGCCAGCCACUAUGCUAAGAGCUUAUGCAUGUUAUUUCAUUUAAUCUUCCCAAUAACCCCAUAAGAUAAAUGCUAUUUUUACCCUUUUAAAAUUAUAGCUUCAUAAGAGGUUAAAUAAAGUACUCAAGGUCUCAAGACAGGAAGUGGUAGAGCUGGGAUGCCAAUCCAGUUGAUACAAUGUCAGAGACUAAACUCGUGACCUCUGCUACAAAUUCUCAUUUAUAAAAUUUCCUUGCCAGAAGCUGCUAGAAGCUCCAGUCCUGUUUGCAAGGUUGUCUUUGACAAAAAUUAAGAAAAACUUUGUUGCAUAAUGUACACUGUUUCUUGUACAUCCAUCCAAGGGUAUCUAAUUAAAGAAAAAUGAUAAGACAUUUUGAUACAUUAUAAUGCACUGGGGAACAUCCCUGGUGAGGAUAAAAUACCAAAUAUUUUCUGUACAGU